AUAUAUAGUAAUUUUAGAUCUACACCCACACUACAAGAAAACACAACAUUAACGACGGCGAAAUUCGUAGUAAGUUCGUCGUAAAAUCAGUUUUACGAGGAACUAGCGAGGAAACACGUUUCGUCGUUAUUUGUUCGUCGUAACGCAUAUUUCCUCGCUAAUUCGUCGUAAACUAACGAGAAAACAUUUCCUCGUAAAGACGAAGCAAAGUAUUCGUCGUAAAAACCACGUAACCCUUCCACGUAAGGGGGACGCUACAUUUCCUCGUAAAUACCUUGAAAACAUUUCCUCGUAAAUAACACGUAAAUGUUUCCACGUCAAAUACUCGUUAAUCUUUCCUCGUAGUGUUGACGUAAAUAUUUUACUCGUUAAUUCCUCGUAAAAUUUCCACGUAAGAUUGUCGUAAUUUAGCUACGAAUUUACUUUGAGUUUAUAUUUUCCAGAUUAAAAAAAAACAAUAUAUUUAAUUAUUUAAUAAAAAUCUAAUUUAAAAAGAAUAUUAAAUACGAAAAUAAUUUAUACAUAAAUAAUUUUUGAAUUUAUAAUACAACCAACGAAAAAAAAAAAACUAAGGGUCGUUCAUCCCCGGUAGAAUUCCUCACUCCUCCUCUCUACAUCUGCGUCGGCAUGUGUGACGGAUGAUGAUUCGCCUAAAAUUAACAUCAACAAUAAUUAACAAAUUCUAUAAAUCUAACUAAGUUCUCUACAUUAACCACCUAAUCAACAGUAAUUAACAUAAAAUCCGUAAAACUAUCUAAAUUUCCUACACUAACCACCUAAUCUACCUAAACUAAUCAAAUUAGAGAGGAAAUAGAGAGCGUACCAUAGCUACAAAAGGGAGAGGAAGUUGAGACGAAAUGGGAAGUGAGAACUCGCG
rnacentral:lncRNA from 1 species